UCUAAGCUAGCUCAGUCAGUAGAGCAUGACUCUUAACCUCAGGGUCAUGGGUUUGAACCCCACAUUGGGCAAAAGAU